AAUGGCGGGUGCCCUAACAGAGGUAUUGCUGGGGCAGACAGAGGGGAUGACCUUGGAAGCCUUUAGGCAUUCAUUGGCCUGUAUAUGCGAUAUGUGGACGAUGUUUUGGUUGUAUGGGAUGGGGAGGGCGGAGCCCAGGACGUGGAGGAGGCGUUCACAUUGCCGGCCUGCAGUUUGGCCCUUGCCGGGACCCAGCAGGAUGCAUCCGGAGUGGGCUGGCUGGACAUUGAAAUUGACAUUGACAACGGCGUUUUGGUGACGGCAGUUUGCAGAGGAUCCCAGUGUCGACCCGUUGUCGUUCCUGAUUGGUCCCCGGACCCACCCUCAUUCGGGAAAGCGGC
rnacentral:lncRNA from 1 species